GCUUUCGUGGUGUAAUUGGAAGCAUAUUCGACCCAUAUUUGAGAGGUACAGGGUUUGAAUCCCGGCGAGGGCA
rnacentral:tRNA from 1 species